ACGCCCACCUGAUGCGGAAGAGUCCGUUGAGACAUUAACGAGCGCACGUGGAGUUACUCCUUUGGUAUACUGGACAGUAAGAAAUACAUCACAAAAUAAAGCCACAUUCCCAUGCUCUGAGAUUCUUACACCUCCUCAACAAUACAUAAUUGACAAGGAAUUCCUGUGCAUAUUGACAGUACCGCUGCUAUCUACAUUCUUUUCUGAGCUAGAUGAUGGAGAUCUUUAGAGGCAAAGGUGGAGGGCUGGAAGAAAAAUGAGACACAUCAUGGGGACCAUCUCCAAGGAUGACACAAUACAUACAAGACGAGCAUCCGUCCUGAAGUCCCUGUGUGACUAUGAGACUGCGACAAACUUGUGAAGGGAUAUACGGUGAGUUACAUUCACAAGGUGUUCUGUGUUAUGUAAUUUAAUGCAGGGGUAAUUUUGAUAUAUGAAACAGCAAAAUGUGACACCCUGUACAACUAAAUCAUAUUGUAAUCUUUCCUUGUUUUGUUUAAUGUCAAAUUUCUGAGGUGUGAAACCAGAGACAUAGAAUUUAGAAUUCGGUAAAUAUAUC